rnacentral:tRNA from 1 species
GGACCUGUAGCUCAACGGCAGAGCACCCCGCUUAUAUCGGGUAGGUUGUUGGUUCGAAUCCAGCCAGGUCCA